GGGCUUGUGGUAGCCCAGUGGUAGAGGGCUUGCCUAGCACGUAGGAGAUCCUGGGUUCAAUUCUCAGCAGCUCA
rnacentral:tRNA from 1 species